UGGUAGACGACAGGAACAGACGAAAACAAGAUCAAAAACCAAUACUGCAACAUAAACCUUAGAACCCUCUAAAAGGGAGUAAAUUUGAAAAAUAAAAGGGCCUAGGACUUUGGCGGAAGGGAUUACGUACAACAAAAAACCUUCAAAAAGAAAAAGCGAG